rnacentral:rRNA from 1 species
AUAGCCGCAGUACUCUGACUGUGCUAAGGUAGCUCAAUAAUUUGUUUCUUAAUUAGGAACUGGUAUGAAUGAGAUGACAAUUUUAUUUCUUUUUUAACUUUUGCUGUAAAAAUUAAUAUCUGUUUAAAAAAGAACAGCUAUCUAGGGGGACGACAAGACCCUGUGAAACUUUAUUUUGAAUUCACUGCCCUAUUUAAAGAAGGCGUGUGCAGGGACAAAUUAGACUGGGGCGGUAUUAAAAAAACUUUUAAAAAAAAAACAAAUUUAUUUGAUUUGAGAGAUCUUACAGCUAAAAGAUAGAACAAGUUACUCCAGGGAUAACAGCACAAUUUUUUUGUAUAGAUCUUAUAGAUGGAAAAGACUGUGACCUCGAUGUUGAAUUGAAGAACCUUGUUUGAGCAGAAACCAACUAAGGAGGUCUGUUCGCCCUUUAAUCCUUCA